UGUCAUAUGUUUUCUUUGUUUCCUCAAUAUAACUCUGAUUAGAAUGUCAAACAAAGAUAAAAUCAUCCGUAUUAAUCGUCAAUAUCGUGUAUAUUAUUAAUAUGAGCGUCUUUGCGUUAAAUUCGUGCUACACCACACCAUGCACUUAUAUCGACGUCGCAAUGCAAAAGAAGAAGGGCAAGAAAGAAACCUGUCCUGGUCUGGCGAUUUAAGGGAACAUUUGUUUAAGCCUGUCUAGAUCUUUUAUCAGUCUAGAAAGAUGUUGGAGAAAAGACAUCAUCCUCUUCUAUAAUCUCCAUCUGUAAUUGGACUAACAACUGAACCAGUGAAGGCAGGCAACUUACUCUCCAUUCGACCUUGCAGGUCACACCAUGGUCUCAAGAGUGAAAAUGAGUGCUCUAUGGAUUGAACAGAAAAGGUGAAUCAAAAUUCCAACCAUCUGUAUGAGGGUCUGGAUGGAUAAUGGAUGCCCACUGGAGCUGGAAAUGAUGGAUCAGGUGGAUCCACACUUGAACCAUCUGUAUGAUGAUCUGCACCCACUGGAUCUGUAAAUGGUGGUGCAGAAAGACACAGCACAUCAUUAUAUCGUUGGCUCCGCCCACUGGUGUUCAGUCUAAAGUAGUAGUUGUUGACAAUCAUAAAGUUGUAAUAACAGUAAGAUUGUGAUGUCAGACAAACAUUGUGCUGUUGCUGGCUGUGGGAAAUUAGUGUCUUUGUAAGGGUCGCAAAUAAUUUGAAAAUAUUUAUGUUUCUAAAUAUGCCCCCCUACCAUGAACUAAACUGGACUGUUGCAGAGACCAAGUGUAGUAGGGUACACUACUAUGCAGGUGACAUUCUUUUGUUUAUUGAAGCUAUGACAAAUAAUUUGUCUGUUUAGUUAAUGUUUUAUACAGUGUAACUGUACCUAAACAUUGUUCCUUGAGGUCCUCUGCUAUUUACAUUUUGUAUGUCUUCCUUAUUUAACACACCUUAUUCAAAUCAUCAGCUCAUUAGUAGAGAUCUUCAUGAACUGAACUGAGGCUGUGUCCAAAUGUUCACACUUGUUGUCUUUGCACUAGACUACUUACAUUACGGUUUUUUUUUUGUAUUUGGCCUAAGUAUUCUAGUGGGCGUGAAGAUCCCAAGCGUGCAUGUAGAAUUAUUCAUCCGAUGGGACACACUUAGCAUGGGUAAAAAUUUCAAUCCAGGUAGUGCCAGCAAUUUGCACCAAAACGUAUUUGUGUUUUAUUUCCUACUUUUAAUUUAUAUUUAACAUUUUUAAGUUUUUCUGUAAAUAAAAUGAACACUCUGAAAUGAACAUUUGCUUAUAUCAAACUUUUAGAUGCAGAAUUCUUUGCUCCUGUAAAAAAGCUCUUUGUUUUGAGUAUGUAGCUUUAUUAAAGUGUAUUAUUUAUUCAGUAGUCCCUAAAUAAACGACACAAUGUUGCAGAUGUUUCACAAAAUGCAUAACAAUAAUGCAGUGAACACCAUAGAAAUGUUAACAUACAAUUAAAAGUCUCAUGCUUUACAUCCAGAACAUGAUGCACGAUAGGAUGCACAAAGUGAUAUUUGGACGCAGCCUCAGUCUGUCAAAUCAAAGAGACAUACAGAAUGCACAGAGCAGUGGGACUCCAUGAACAGAGUUGAGAACCACUGCUGUAACUCAUUAUGCUUACCUGACUCAUGCAGAAUUCUGGCCUGGUGUUUGGUCCCCCCUUUCUCUGGCUUGUGUCUCCAUCAUCAUUACACUCUUGUCAGUGUAAUAGUAUCGUCGUCUGCAUACCAGGACUUUGUUACUCAGCUGUCCCUUCUCCUUCAAGCUACAUUUUUGUCAAGCUGCAACAAGUUGGAAUACAUAAUUAUUAACGUUUAAUGAUUUUGAUGUAUGAAAUAUGUAACAAAAGCAAAAAAUGUAUAGACAUUCUAUUAAGAAAUUACCUUUUUGUUGUUUGUUUACUGACCUUUCAACCAUAUUGCAUUUAUAAUUGAUCAUCAUACCUUUGGUCUACUGUUAACAGGCUACUGUAGAAAACAAAGUCAAACAAAAAAGAGAGAAAAAAUUAUAAAUGCUGAAUGUGUCUCAUCUUAAAUACAUUGUUGUUGUUUUUGUUUCAUUGAUUUUGGAUGUUUUGAUGAUUUAAGGAAAAUUUACGUAGCAUAUAUAUUGAUGUUUUAAAUCAGAGUUUGUUAAUGACACUUAAUCAUUAACAAACAUUUAAAAAGCUUUAUUACAAUACUAAUUGAUAAUAUAUAUGUAAUAAUCUUGUUUUGUAACACCCUAAAUCACUGAGCGCACAAACGCUACCCCUGUUACAAGCAUGAGUGAUUGACUUCAGGCACACAUGCGCAGACAUUGAAGUACCGCGAGAGUGAUUCAAAAGCCCACGAAACAGUGUAAUCACGCGGUACUGUGAUGUCAUACUGGUUAAGGCUAAGCCACGUGAAGCCGGACACAAGGGCUUUGGGCUGGAGUAGCCUGUGGCUUUUAAGGCUUCGUGUCUCAUCGCGUUAAACGAUCGCAGAACGAUUUAUUUCUCUUUUUCACCUCGAUCUUUGGCCUCGUGUGAUUUACCAAAACCAACAUGUGAAGUUACAACGCUGACGAAGGAGUUUCAUCAGUAGAGUGUGUCCUGGAAAACGUGUGCUCGGAAACAUGCAGAAUACAGUAUUUACAGAGCCGACCUUGAGGCACCCACUGAUGGAUAAUCUGUUUACCUAAAAACAGCCCACCACAAUCCAUGUUUACCAGCUGUGAAAGUGCAGGCCAAAAAUCUUCCUUCACCUGUGGGCCUCUACCCACAUGUAGAUAAGCAUUUCAGGAGAAACCUGCCUGUGAUCUGCUAAGAUGCACAGAUUCAACUCUGGCCCAUUGUCAUCCCAACACCUCAUCUGCCAUCAGUUUCGUUUAGUGUCGGUCUAUUGCAAAAGUUCUUAUAAACUUUAAAUGAGACUUUGUGUUAAGCAGGGGUUUCCAAACUUUUCAUUCCACAACAUAUUAAGCCCAGGAUACACAGCAGGAUUUUUGCAAUCCAAUAAGACCUUAUCACACUGUGUGACAAGGAUUGUUUAAACUUCAGCAGUAGACUGUCGAUGAAGACACCUAUUGCAUCUGAAGCUGCGACAUCUGUCAUCAACAUGCGCUAGUGGUAAACAAAUACAGGUAUGCAGGUCGUAGAAGCAAACACAUUGUUGAUGUGCGUUGAUCAUGCUGAACUUCUUACACUGUCAUAAAACUAUCGUAGGUGUCUUUGGUCCCAGGACUGGGAAAACAGACGUCUUUAAACCUCUCACACUGUAUGAGAUAGGACCACCAAUUAAGAGCCACGAUCACAGAAAUCUCCACAAUUGUUUCACGAUUGGUAAUCUUUCAUCUGGGACAGCCAAAAAUCGUGCCGUGUAUUAUGGGCUUUAGACAGGUGUAAUCUUAUAGUAUAUCAAAACCAUUGCUAAUAAUUAAUUGGACAAACCAUUACUACAAUGCAACACUCACUAUCUUACGGUGCGACCCACAAGUGGGUCUUCACCCACAGUUUAAAAACCCUGAGUAUGAGAAAGAGUAUGUUGUAUUGUAAUUAAAGUCACAUCUAAGUGUUAUGGAACAGUUUGUCAUUAUAUUCACAGUAUUACAUGGUUCUUUCAGCAGUUACUACGUUACAGUGCUCUUAAAGUGUCCUGAUCAGCUUUGGGUCUUGUGAAGUAAUGUAAUGAGAAUGUGAUCAAUAGCUUUGCAGUAUUUUGUUACACUGUGGCUGUAAUCAUAUUAACACAUAGGUUAAACAUUUUAUUCAAAUUUGGUAAACAAACUAGUCAAUAUAAUUCAUGCUGUGAUGCUGGAUUAAACCUGGUCAAAUGAUUGUGUAUUGUGUUUUCAAUUUUUAUGAGGUUUCUUCAUCUAUAUAAACAUUCUUAAUAUCA